rnacentral:snoRNA from 1 species
GAGCUAAACCAACUUUAGUUUUUGACUUGAGAAAUGUGUUUGUACAGAGUUUGGUCUGGUUGUCCAUGAUGUAGAGUUCAGAUGUUCCCUUCAGAAUAGGAAACUGGUGGAGAGACUGAGUUUCUUCUCUGCUGUUGAAGACUGUUCAGUGUCUGUGGAUGAGACUCUGGUGGAGGAAACAUGAUCUGAGUGGA